UAAUUUCUGUUAGUUUCACUGUGCCUCUGUUUAGUUUCUGUUUCCAGGAUCUGUCCAUUGAAGACAGUGGGGUGUUAACGUCUCCCACUAUUAUUGUGUGAGAUCCCAUUAGCAGCUGUUCAAGUACAUGAACAGCCCUAAAGAUGACAAUAGGGAUAUGGGAGCCCAGAAAACAUCCAAACAGCAUUCAACGAAAUCUAAGUGAAAUCUACCAUGUAAUUAAGCAAAUCUAAAGAGCGUCUUUCACUGGAACCCAAAGAAGUCCUCCACCUUCUGGGCUUUCCUAAACCAAGGUCUCCCUUUUCUAACAAAUAAAGAAAUAUCUUACCCAUUGCUUG
rnacentral:lncRNA from 1 species